UAUUGUAGGUUUUAGUACUCAUCUCACCUUCCCGUCUCUGACAGGCAUUCCGAUCCAUUUCGCAGGGAUUCCUAAACGCCACUAUUACAACCAGCAGGAUCCACUUCAUUAUAAGACGCGUGCUAUAAAAACUGUCCCCAGCUGCUGCUUUGAUUUAGUUUUAUAUGUGAUCGGAUUUAGGCCAGCCAAUGAACUCGAUUCGAAAACAUAUUGUCAGGCCGAAACAAAGGAUUCGCUCCCAUAAGCCGAUCUAUAUUCUUUUGCACGUGUAACUACGCCGUUUCCAUUAAAUGUGUGUGCUCACAAACAUGACGAUCCAUCGAAAAUAAUAGGCAUACUGGUUCAGAUGACAGCGGCUUAGGAAGGUCAUUUGUCGAUCUCCAUUAACUCCGUUGCUGUCCACAUAUGAAAAAGAGGCACAGACUUGUGGCCCACCUGAAGGACAGUGACCUGGGCAAUAGGUCAUGCAUUGAUCUUGAGAAGUUAAAAGCAAAGCUGGCAGAAAAUAUAUUUUAUUUCAGGGAUCCUAAAAGACACGAGUUCUGGAAAACACGGCAAGUCCCUUCCGAAAUAGUCCAUAUAAUAUUCCUGCCAUAGGGAUUACAUCGAAACUAAAUCCACAAAACAGAGUCCCGAGAACUGAAAGCUUGAAAACAUUCAUUAUUAUAAUAAGUGAUCAUCAGACAUAUUGCGAUUAUAUAGCCUCAGACAACUUUCAGCUGCGCAAUAAGUUUUCGGAUAAACAGCGUCCAAUGCGUGGCUCGUUUACAUAAGCUGAAAAUAUAAUAUUUUAUUAAAAUUCAAUGAGUGAAACUGGAAAACUAGGAUAGACCCACCUUGAGCGUUACGACAGGCAAAGCUAUCCAGUGAGCAGCGAC